UUUGCCAACUGCCGUAAAAUACUGUGCAAGGAAGAAGAGCGGCGUUUGUUGAUGGCUGCUACCAAUGGACACAUUGCCCAUCCAGCAGCAUCGUGCUCCUCCUGCUUUGUCCAUCACUGCUGCCUGGCUCCCAUCAGCAUGACUCUGCAAACUCAAGCUCAAGACAUCGCUCUUUAUUUAUUGCUCUUCAUUUGUCUGCAACAAACGCACAACCCACAGUAAAAUAUCUGGAACUUAAACCCCCGAGCAAGAAUGGAUGAAAACAGCACUAUAUCUAUACAGCACUAUAUAUUUAUCUCCUCGGGGAUAGGUAAAGUAA